AGGCCAUCUCCAACGUAACGGUAA
rnacentral:siRNA from 1 species